GAAGAAAACUAUUCGCUAGUAAGAACGAUUUGCCGUUGUGGUCCCCCACCACACACCCCGGAGUGGAGGAUCUCUAGACCUUCUUUCCUUGCUGUGGGAACGAAUCCUGUCCACUCUGCUGCCGGGAAGUACUUUAUGAAGCUCAUGAGACUGUUGGCCUAAUCGAGAGGUGGUAUUCAGCUGGUUCUCUCUGGUUCGGGAAAAUCGGUAGUGGCGACUGCGGGAAACUCCAACCACCUGCCCCAACAUAAUGCACGAGCACUGUGCAUGCGCAGAAGGCAGUGCACAUGCACAGAUGUGGCGCAUGCACUCACAUGGACAGGGAAGAUGCGCUGAACUGCAACUCCCAUUGCUUGAAUUAAAACUGGAAUUGUACUACAGUUUCAGGAAGGCCAUCCUUCAGCCUUGAGUUGAUGUUCAUUGUCUUUUAUUUAUUCAAGUGUAUGCCAUGCUGUAUAACUUCAUGGCACUUUCCUGAGUUGCAGGAUUCCAUUCCUUAUAUUUCUUUCAGCCCCCUUUACUUUCUGUCUCUACAUCUGUCUCACUGUUGCAUUAGUGUUUCCUGUUCAACUGAUCUUACCAUUUGAAGCAUCCUCUCUUUUGAGGUGCAUUCUUUCUUGGAACCUCACUCAAACCAUUUGUAGUCAUAGAAGCAACCCAGGAUUAUUUUUCCACACAAGAGUUUGAUACUUUUUCAGGAAUUGGCAGGUUAUGCCAUCACUCCAGUUAUCAGACUGGGUGUUGAAUUACAUGAUGCAAUUAUUUGAAAAUGUGUCUUGCAUGCAGAUAGUACUGAACAAAAUGUUCCACAGAGAUUUUCUGGAAGGCAGUAUUUCUAGUCUAGUAAUCUUCUCCAUACUUGUACUAGCAAAAUAGGAAGUUUAACUGGCAUUGGCUUGAAGAACUCAAGAUCAAUUGUGGAUUCCUAAUUGCUGGAACCGGCAGUGACCCAAGCCUGCCACACCCCCGAACUGGUUCUCUGGGCAGUGCUGUAGGCGCAGCCAUCUUGUUUUGGGGUUCUGUGCAUGCGCAGAAUAAUUUUAACUGCACUGCACUUGGGCAUGCAGUGUACACGCACAACACAUCCACAAGCAAAUUGUCAGUAGUGCCUGCCGGAACCCACCCCUGCUCAAGAUUGUAUGGAUUUGUUCUUCACUGGGACACCUGGAGAGCUUCUCUGUCUUUGGAAGAGAUGACAAAUAUUAUGGGAAGCACUGAAGGAAUAAGAACUCAGGUGUAUACAGUGUCUGAGUAUGACAAAGUAAUUUUGUACGUAAAAGAAGACAAAACAGAAAAAAGAAGAAGUUACCCAAAGUGACAAAUGUUGAUCUGAUAAAGGGAACAGUUAUCUUCUGGAAUUCUUGCAUUCCAUUUUUUAUGAGCUACAUGUUUACAACCUACAGAAAGCAAAUAUUGCAGACAUCUCAUAUCUUCAACACAAUCAUAUGAUAAUUAUUGAACUUAAUGUUUCUGCCCUUGGAAACAGAACCUGUUUGAUGCUUGUAUAUGAGAGACCAGUCUUGCUAAUGAUACGACAUGUUUAGAUCUUGUCAGAAAGCUUCAUGUUUUUCAAUCUCUUUUUUCUUCCCAACAGCUCAUAACAACUUUUCCAUUCUGCAUAGUAGUCUGUUGAGCAAAAAGAAACAACUUUCUGAAAGAGUACUUAUUUUACUCAUUCUUAUUUCACUCUAUUCACUCUUGUGUUCAGAUGAUAUUAUUUUCUAAAACAAGUUAAAAUUUCAAUCCAUUCAAAAAGGUUCUGGGAAUAAUGGAAAAUAGAGUAGUUCUUCUGUUGUCUUGUGACAAUGGUAAUAGGAGUGGACUCCUUCUCCAGGGGGAGAGAAUAGUAAGCACGCCAACACAAGAAACUGUCUGAUGAACAGUUCCAUAACUAUGUAUAUGAUAAUGUAAGCCAGGAUAUAAUGUUACCACAUCAUGUGGGCAUUCCAAUGAACUAGAAUUAGUUUAAUAAAACAAAAUUAGCAGAGAAACAGAAAGGACUAACUGAGCAUUAUGAAUGUCUGUGAAGCUCAGGUGCCACACUGUCUCAUGUAUUCGUAAUGUUCAGUUAGGCCCUUCUGUCCAUCCACAGUUUGUGCCUUUUCCAAGGCCCAUGUAUUUCCUUCCAGAGACACUCUGACCUUAGAAAGCAUGAUAAAUAUGUUAGUAUUUAAUGCAAGAUCUUUGUAAAGCUUUUAACGGGAAUAAGCUGGUGGAUAAAUACCUGUUCCUAACUAUAGAACUUGCAGCUGUUUCCUUCACUUCUACCAUAAAGAAAUUAGUCAGUAUGACCCGCCCCUGACUUGUGUAUUUGUGUGUCUAGUACCUGAAUUGUUUGUGAGGAUAACCUUCCUACUUCUUUUUUCUGACUAUAGAUACAACAGCAAGGUCAGUUCAAGGAUAGUUAAGUGAAAUAAAUCUUUUUUGCAAUAUUUAAAUGUUUCUCAGGUAAAAUCAGGUAUCUGCAUGACACAGUUCUAUUUAUAUCAUCUAUCUAUUAUCUAUUGUCUGUCUGUUUGUCUAU